rnacentral:rRNA from 1 species
GAUGAACGCUGGCGGCGUGCCUAAUACAUGCAAGUCGAGCGAACAGACGAGGAGCUUGCUCCUCUGACGUUAGCGGCGGACGGGUGAGUAACACGUGGAUAACCUACCUAUAAGACUGGGAUAACUUCGGGAAACCGGAGCUAAUACCGGAUAAUAUAUUGAACCGCAUGGUUCAAUAGUGAAAGACGGUUUUGCUGUCACUUAUAGAUGGAUCCGCGCCGCAUUAGCUAGUUGGUAAGGUAACGGCUUACCAAGGCAACGAUGCGUAGCCGACCUGAGAGGGUGAUCGGCCACCCUAGAACUGAGCCACGGUCCAGACUCCUACGGGAGGCAGCAGUAGGGAAUCUUCCGCAGUGGGCGAAAGCCUGACGGAGCAACGCCGCGUGAGUGAUGAAGGUCUUCGGAUCGUAAAACUCUGUUAUUAGGGAAGAACAAAUGUGUAAGUAACUAUGCACGUCUUGACGGUACCUAAUCAGAAAGCCACGGCUAACUACGUG